GUUGCCUAGUGGUUAAAACAUCCGCCUGGCAAUCCAGGGGAUGCGGGUUCAAAUCCCG
rnacentral:tRNA from 11 species